UAGCAGGGGCCUCACCGGGAGGGAAGGUGCCGUCCCCUCCUGGCGACCAAGAUGUUUGUUUCUUUGGGUUCCUACCGACGAGUCACGGGCUGCUGAUUUUCUUGGCCAUGUCCAAGCCUGAGGAUGGUGCUGGGUAGCCUCAGGGACUAAGGAAGGCCAACGGAAUUGAGGUGCCAGGUGCCAGAAAUCCGACCCCACUGCCCGAAGCUGCUUACACCCACUCACCAUUGCUUACAGCCAAUGCCUCGCCCUGACACAAGCUCACAGCACGCCAGGCUCCAUGCCUAAAGUAGGAGGUCUGCUCGCAUCCCCACAGAGACCACUCAGCUGGUUGAAAAAGUGAGUUGAGACAACGGGAGGCAGGACACAAGAGGAAUCUGGUACAAGACAGUCCACGUGUACAUGAAAUCGGACUUUGGAAACACAGGGAUGGGUGUUCUCUGCACUUGUUUUCAUGUCCUCUCUAGUAAAUCUCCUCUCUCAGCAUUGAAGGGCCAGACUGAAACACAUCACUGCCCUGCCCUAACCUUCAAGAAUCUCCAGCGUCCACAGGACAAAAUCCAAGGGCCUCCCCUGGACAUGCAAAGCUUCCUGCAAAGGAGCCCCCCAGCCCCCUAGCCCACCCCCAUGUCAGCCCUACUUCAGGGUUCCUGGCCUUGGUUCACACCGUCCUCUCAACCCAAGUGUCUUCUUUCCGUCCGCCACGCGUCUGAGUCCUUCUUACAGAACGAAACGCAUCCAACACGAGUCACGCUUCCAGGAGUAGCUGAAGAUGGUGAGGCCACCGAACUCCUGCCAUUCCUACUACAACGAUAGGCACAUAGCGACCUGUCCAGGCACUUUGCUCGCAGGUUUCUGUUUCCCAACUAUAUACACGUGCAGAAGACAGGGAAAAAGAAAGGACCAAGUUACGAGUGGUUAUGAACCCUGAAGUCUGCCAGAAUGGCUUCAUCGACCCAUCCGUUCCUUCAUACCCAGGCAUUCAGUCAUUCAGAGAACUCUUACUGCUUCCUGGGCAAACAUGCUGGUAGCAGGAAAGUCCACGGGCUCCCACCCCAGCGGCCCCACGGGUACAAGCACCAUUUGGAGUCACAAAACCGACGAUGGGACUUUGGUUCUGGCUCCCUUCCAUCACGCCAGGGCCUGGGCAGGUCACCGGGGGCAGGGGCCACAAGCCGGAGAUAAGCCAGUGGUCAAGCUCUGUAGCCGUGAUUACGCACCCGCCGCUCUGAGCCUGUUUCCCACCGGUGAAGGGGUGACAGCAGCCCGUGUCUCCCAGCAGUGAUGGGAGGACAGACCUCCUCGGCUCAAAGAGGGAAACCUGCCAAUUGAAAACAGCCACCUGCUCCUUCAAAAAGGAUUCUUAGUCUCCUUGGCAUUGGGUGUUGUCUGCGCGUCCGGGGGCCACGACAACAAAGGGCCACAGACCUGCUGGCUUCAAACAAGAGAAAUCGAUUCUCUCACAGCUCUGGAGUCAAGGUGUUGGCAGGGCCUCGCUCCCUCCAAAGGCUCCAGGGGAGGGUCCUGCCUGCCUCUUUCAGCCUCUGGGGUCUCCAGGCGUCCCUGGCUGUGGCCGCAUCCCUCCAGUCUCUGUCUCCGUCGUCCCAUGGCCUCCUCUGUGUCAUCUUCGCUGCUUCUGUCCUUUAUAAGGACACUGAUUGGAUGUAGGACCCUUCCUCUUCCAGGAAGGUCACAUCCUGAGAUCCUUAUUUUAACUACGUCUACAAAGACCCUAUUUCCAAAUAAGCUCUCAUUCUGAGGGUCCAAGUAUAUAUGAACUGGGGGGGACACGAUUCCAUCCAGCACAGACACUCAGGCAGAGAUGGGCAAGUGGCCCCUCUGUGUGUCACGGAGCCAUCGAGGGACCCCCGCUCUUCCACUGGUGCUGAGGCCCCCUCCUGGCCCACCUAGACAGACGCCUCCAGCUUCACGGCUCCCCAAGGCCUGUGCAAUGCACAUGCACCAUGCCUGGCGCUGCCUUUUACCCUAGACGUUCCUCUAGGAACGGAGCCAGACAGACUCAGAGUGAGGAGACAGGUGAAAGAGCCAGGCAGCACCAGGUGGAAACCGCAGGAUGGGGCGAGCGCUGGCCACACGCCCACCACCGAGUGCCAAGGGGAGUGACGGCCGCUGCCAGGCGUGGGGGUGGGAAAUCAAGGCAGCAUCACAGCAUCGGGGAGCCUUGGGGGCAACCCUUAAGGAAGAGUGGGGUUCCUCCUGGUAGGCCUGGUGGGCGAGGGUCACCCCAGGCGCCAAGCCACCUGAGCCACAUGCUCAGGGCUGGGAUGGUGGACGCAGAGCACGUAGCAGGGAAAGGGCCGGAGAAGACAGGCUGCUGCGCAAAGGAUGUGGGCUUGAUCUUGGGAAGAGGCUCAGAGCCUCUCGCACCAUCCCUCGGCUGGCCACGAUCUGGGCAGGGGAUGGGGACAGCGCAGGGGGACUGUACCAGAGGCAGCGCGCAUGUGAGCCGGGCUGGUUGCCCCGUGCUCUCCAGUAUCCAGCGGGGAGGUGAGGAGGGAUAAUCCCCUCGGGGGGACCGGAGUUGCCUGCAGCCGGGAUGCGGGUCCUCGAGCGCUGGGCAGAAGGUCGCACACGCAUCAUCUCCUGGACACAGGCUCUGGCGCAGAGACACGGACCCCAGUCACACACGGAGCCCCGCCAUGACAAAUAUUUCACCAGGAGACUUCCUCUGGGAGGGGGAGAAAUACCCAAAGCACGCUUUGUCUUAAAACAUUAAUGUCCAAUUCUAAAUUGGGUCGGGGGACGGAGGAGGAGAAAGGAGGAAGGCAGGGGUGGGGAGCCAUCACUGGGCAUCAUUCAUAAGCCACACACUGGGCCCUUCAUCAGGCCCCAAACUCACCCUUGUGGCUACGCAAAGAUUUAUUGAAGCCCCAGCAUGGGCUCAUUUAUUUUCCUCCAAACCAAUUUGAAAAGACCGUUUGCAUCUGCCCUGGAGGAAAAAAAAAAAACCACACACACACACACACACACACAAAAUGUGCUUAUUUGGCAAACUUUGUUUGAAAAACCUGCUUGUCCCCAAAGAAGUAGCCGCAUGUUUGGCGAGGCCAGGGGCUGUGUCUGUGGGGAGGGGAUGGUGGUGGUUCGGUUCUUCCCCAUCAUCUGUUGGCCAGAGAAAGAGACAGAGAACUUGAACUCAGACACCAUUUCUUGCACCUGGGGACCCAGAAAGGCGGGGCCCUUUGCUCGGAGAUCAAGGUCCCGUUGUAGCUCUCUCUAGCCUUGCUUGUCAGGGACGUCUGUGCACAGACAGCUGCAAAACGCAAAGAAAAGUGUAAAGCCAAGCGGGGAAAAAUGGACAAUGAGAAUUUCAAACAUUAGCUAAUUUUGAGGGGUGGGGUGAAAGUUCUGUCUGUCCUCUCCAGAAAAAAGAGAUGUCACCCAUGAAGAAACAUUCACCUUUCUUCCUAUCUACAAUAU